AUGUCCUUAAAGGUCCACGUGUUAAGCUAUCUAUAUCCUGGCCUUAUAUCUAAAGCUUGUGAUAUGUUGUGAUAGUUGGGUUGAAGAAGUGCAAUAUUAAAGCAAAAGCCAUGAGAUCAUUAAGCCCAUUGUGUAAAGAUGCACUCUGAGUUAUAACUCAAAGGCACAACU
ensembl:scaRNA